UUAUCGUCGACGCAAACAGUUUGACAGUUCUCUUCAGUUGAUCUUGUUCGGACUUGAUCAAAUCAGAAAAACAAUAUUGUUGUAAAGGUUCGUGAGGAUUUUGGCUGGUUGAUUGAUUUCCUGAUUUCAGCCUUCGCGACGGUGGAAGAGAACGUGAAACAUCGUUAACCCGGCGGAUCAUGCCGGAAGAUGGGACGGGAAGGAACCGGUCUGCGAUCGAAAGCGGAUUGGGAUCUGUAUCAAACAGUCUCCAAACAGGACAAUGAAAGUGUUGAUGGUGUUUGAUUUUUAGAGAAUGUCAAAAUCGCCAUUACUAAUACUAAGACCUGGAA